GACGAACGCUGGCGGCGUGCCUAAUACAUGCAAGUCGAGCGCAGGAAAUCAUCCGAACCCUUCGGGGGGACGUUGAUGGAAUGAGCGGCGGACGGGUGAGUAACACGCAAAGAACCUGCCCUCAGGUCUGGGAUAACCACGAGAAAUCGGGGCUAAUACCGGAUGGGUCAUCGGACCGCAUGGUCCGAGGAUGAAAGGCGCUUCGGCGUCGCCUGGGGAUGGCUUUGCGGUGCAUUAGCUAGUUGGUGGGGUAAUGGCCCACCAAGGCGACGAUGCAUAGCCGACCUGAGAGGGUGAUCGGCCACACUGGGACUGAGACACGGCCCAGACUCCUACGGGAGGCAGCAGUAGGGAAUCUUCCACAAUGGACGAAAGUCUGAUGGAGCAACGCCGCGUGAGCGAUGAAGGCCUUCGGGUCGUAAAGUUCUGUUGUAAGGGAAGAACAAGUGCCGCAGGCAAUGGCGGCACCUUGACGGUACCUUGCGAGAAAGCCACGGCUAACUACGUGCCAGCCGCCGCAGUAA
rnacentral:rRNA from 1 species